rnacentral:lncRNA from 1 species
AUGAGGCGUGAAGGGAGGGACGCGCGCGGCCACGCUCCCCGCAGGACGCGGCUCCGGACCCGGCGUCGGGGCUCCGCGGGACCCAGGUGUUCCCGAGGGGAAGAAACUGGCAGAAAGUGGACGCCUCCGCCCGCUGCCCCCCCCCCCCCACACACACACACAGGUAACGGCACCACAGCUGCCUUCCGCACACGCGGCUCCCGGCGCCAACGCCAACGCCUCCGCGCCCUCCGGGACCCUCCGACCCCGGCUCAAGCUCCUCCCCGCCCGCGGGCCCCGGCGGGAGCGGCGGCGGCGGCGGCGGGGAGCGGGGAGCGGGGAGCGGGCCGCGCUCGCUGCCAUUGGCUGUGCGGCCCGAGGGGCGGGGGCCCCGCAGUCCCGCCGGCUCCGCGGCCCCGGCUCCCGCCCGCCCUCCCGCAGCCGGUGCGCUCGAGCCCUGCGCUCCCCGGACGGCCGCGCGGGGGCGGGGCGCCGAGGCGGGGGCGGGGGCGGGGCGCGGCGGGGCGCGGGCGGGGCGCGGGCGGGGAGCUCAGCGCAGCUCCAGUCCGGGCCGGGCCGGCGCGCCGCGGGAGGGGAGGUCGCCGCGCGCGGGCUCGCAGGUCAGUGCAGGCUCCCGGCGCCGCCUCGAGCGGGGCGGGGCGUGGGGGCCGGGGCCGGGGCGGGGGCCGGGGCGCCGGGCCCUGGGGGCGGGCUCGCCCUCCGCGGGGAGCGCCCUGCCUCCUCUCCUGGGGCGGCCUCCGCUCCCUCCGAGCGCCCCCCCCGCGGCUCUCCGCGGCUCCCAGGGGUGUGGCUCCGUCCUGGGAGCCCCCUGAGUGCAUCCCCUCGGCGGCCAGCAGGCUCCGCGGGUCGGCGGUCGCGAUCCUCGGGAGGACCCGGCGGGGCUGCGCAGGGCCGCGGCCCCGGGACGACCCGCUCCUGUCCCGGACACAGCCGGGAGGAUCUGCCCUCGCGAGCGCUGCUGCAAGCAUUGAUUCCGCCGUCAAGUGUAGGCAGUUCCACACUUUGCGGAACGCGCUUCUAGGUGCAUCUGUUUGCUUUUGCCUUUGUGGUGUGUGCGGUCACCUCUGUUUGUUUUGCUUCUAUCCGGGUUUACAGGGUCGUCUGUCCCCUCCGGGCACUCCCCGCGUGCACUGCCGGCCUUGCACCUUCGCGCGCCCGCAGAGCCUUUGCACCCGUCUUAGGUGCUUCAAAUCCGGGCAGAAUGCUCUGAAGAGAUUGACACAUGUUCAUGGUUCUCAUUAAAGAAGCUUCAUGUAAGGCAGAUGAAGGAGGACAGCGAUUG